AUUGAACGCUGGCGGCAGGCCUAACACAUGCAAGUCGAACGAUUGGCGGACGGGUGAGUAAUGUCUGGGAAAUUGCCUGAUGGAGGGGGAUACCUUCUGGAAACGGUAGCUAUUCCCGCAUACCAUCGGAUGUGCCUAGAUGGGAUUAGCUAGUAGGUGGGGUAAAGGUUCACCUGGGCGACGAUCCCUAGCUGGUCUGAGAGGAUGACCGGCAAAACGGGAACGAGGCAACGGCCCAGAUCCCAAGGGGGGGAGGCAGUGGGGAAUAUGGCACAAUGGGGGAAAGCCUGAGGCAGCCAGGCCGGGUGGAGGAAGAAGGCCUUGGGGUUGUAAAGUACGUUCAGCGGGGAGUCGUUAACCGCAGAAGAAGCACCGGCUAACUCCGUGCCAGCAGCCGCGGUAAUUC
rnacentral:rRNA from 1 species